AAACUUUCUUUCUCUCUCUUCUCUCUCGUACUCUCUCUUUUUAUCAGCAUCUCACACUUUCAUCUCUCCUCCUCUCUGACCCAUCCCAUCCUUCACCACAACCUCCACCACCACCUACAAAUGAAUCACUCGUGAGAGUGAGGAACUGACCGAAGGAGAGAAUAUUUGACGGCGAGAGGGAAGUUACGGCGAGGAAUAGAGAGUUCCGGCCGACACCAGAAAAGCUUCGACCACCACCAUCGGCACCACACCGCUUGCCUCUCACCACCGACCGCAACCUUUUUCUCUCUCUGCUAAGCUGAGUUUUCAAAUCAAAAUCACCGAAAAAGCCAGUCACGCCACCACCACAAAAGCUUUCGCAUAUUGACAGGUUUCUGUGUUAAGCCGUCACCGACGCCUUUCCAGGAGGUGCUUGAGUGUAUGUUUGAUUACAUUGAUAGGUUGUUUAACAUGGUGCGACCUAGGAAGCUGCUGUUUAUGGCUAUUGAUGGUGUUGCACCGAGGGCUAAAAUGAACCAGCAAUGGUCUAGGCGGUUUAGGGCAGCUAAAGAUGCAUCUAAUGCGGUAGGUUGCGCAGCUUAAUUUUGAAUUUUGGGUUUUAAAUUGUAUAGAUGUUGUUUGAUUGCAUUGAUAGGUUGUUUCACCAAUGUUUUGGAUCAUUUUAGAUUCUUUAUCUCAAAUCAGGAAGAAACACAUACUUGAUACAGUGCUAAAUGUCAUUUCUUAACUCUUAUUUGACCUCACAUUCAAACUCUUAUUCCAUCUCAAGUUUGCAGAAUGAAGCCUCCCUCUUCCUUAGCAUUCCAUCUUCCCUUUUAUCAAAUCCUUUUUCCCCUUAGCACUUGCUUUCUUAUCAUUCCUCUCCACUUUCAUUUAAAUUACUUACCAGCUACCAUUUCAUUACAUCAUUUCUUUUGGUCAUGCGGCGUACAUUAGUGGCAAAUAAGUUACUCAACAAGCGACUCGGAAUUGAUAGUUUUGCAGCAGAUUAUCCAAAUUAUAUACCAGUUAUCUCUGAGCACUAAGACCAUUCUUAAUGCAGCAUAUCUUUCCAAUUUUAUGCUCAUGUUUAUCAGAUACUCUAAUGUUGCUGAAAUCUGGUGUCAUUUGGAUUUACUUUGACAAAGCAAUAGUAGUGCUACAACAUUGUAGUGUAGGGGGAUUAGAACAAAUCACUAUUUUAUGAAAUCCAUGAUUGACAACACUGCGAGUAGUUCAUUCUUGCAUAUGCUCUGAUUUAUGUAUGUUACUGAUAGAUGAGUUCAAACUUAUUCUUUCCUUUGCAUUCAUAUGUAUAUACUAUGUAUGACUUUGAUUCAUGCUUAUUGUUUAUCUAUUGAUUGCAAUUGGCAAAUGCUUUAAACAAUUUUAUUACUAAUGUUUUCCAUAAUUUUGAGUCUAUAUAUGAUUGCUUCUACACCUGCCGUGGCUAUGAUUUUUUGUUUUGUGGAGUUUACUGAACCCAAAUGCGCUCUCACCGCCAUGGAAGCUCUGCAAGCUAAAUGGUUUUCUUUUUUGUAUAUAUAACUGAGUUUGAUGUCUACUCACAGGGUCAAUAUAACUGAGUUUGAUGCUUGGUACAUUAUAGGGAAUUGUCUGAAAAUUAGGAAAUAUAGACCUCUGAAUUAUGAGAUCUCAUUCUAUGAUUGAUGUGGAUCAAAAUAUAGAACACUAACACCAGAACUAAACACUAUAUAAUAGUGGCCAUAUGGUUUAAUUUUGACGAAUUAUUGUGCAUUUUAAACUCUUUUUCUUCAUAUUGUUUAGUUCUGGUGUAAUUCACAAACUGUACACCAUGAUAAUUUAUGUGGUUGUUUGUGUAAAUUGAAUUUGGCUUCAUAGGUUAUAAUGAGGCUGGCCUAGAAAAACCUUAUACAUUCAAGACUGAUGAGAUGAAUGGAAGAUAGAAAUAAUUCUCAUAUGUUGAAGUGAGUUAUUUUCUCAUUCUUCGAUGCAUUUAUUUUAUUAUUUUACUACUUUUUGUGUAAAUUUUACAGCUUUAAUUAAUUCUCCUUUUACAAGUUUGAUUGAUUGCCUCAUUGAAUUGCACUUUCACGACUCAUGUUCUUUUUGGGUUAGAAAUGUGUAUCACAGUGCGCAAUGUUACUUUGAGACAAUUUCAGAGACUAAUAAUUUUGGUCCCUUAAUUUUUUCACAUUAUGGUUCUUAAUAUGUUUGGAUUAGGAUGGAAAAGGUGGUGAACUAACACAUGAUGAAACAACUAUCAUUGCUGGGGCACUUGAACUCUCUAAGAAAACUGCUGGUGAUGCCAUGAGUCCUAUAAAUGAAAUAUUUUCUAUUGAUAUUAAUUCAAAACUUGAUAGGUAAGUCAUGUAUCACAAUAAUUUAUAAAUUUUGGAAGUUCUGGAAGAGGCCUCACUAUGGAAUUCCAGUAUGUACUGCAAUUUUUGUUUGGGUGUGGGUACAUACACUUGUACCAGAUCUAUUGUUCGUACAUUCAAAUUUCUACCGCUAUUUGUGAUUUGUUGUAGUGUGCUGCAGGUUGAGAAAUUAGAUCUUAUAACUGCUGCUAUGGGACAUGCAUUGGCCACAGAAGGAGGAUUCUGCACCAGAAGUGCGAGAGUUAUAGAUCAUCAAGUUUUUAUAAAAUUGGUACUGCAUCUGAAUCUGUAAAUGCAACUUACAUAUUUUCCAGAAAAGAUCUUUCUCGGCCUGCUAUACAGCUUCCUUGUGCAAGCAAAGCUAUUGUAGGGUGGAUUUUGAUCUAGCUUGAAGGUUUUGAUCAUCUGUUAUAAGAGGAUAAAUUGAGGCACCAUGUUGUUUUUGACACACUCAGGGGUGAUUGGAUGAUUGCCUUUGGAAAUUGGGAAUUUGACCCAAUGAAGCUUAGUAAUCCAUUCCCUCACAAUAACAGAAGUUCAGUUCACAUUUGGCAGGGCUAUGAAGAUAAAGUAGUACCCUCUCAAAUUCAAAGAUUCAUUUCAGAGAAGCUACCAUGGAUACAAUAUCAUGAAGUUGUAGAUGGUGGUCAUUUGAUUGUACAUUAUAGUGGCUUAGGCGAGGCGAUUUUGAAGGCACUUUUACUUGGGGAAGAAGAUAUUUCAUAUAAACCUAGAUCAUCAAAAUCUGUAUCUUAAUUUUGCCAUGACUUUUAUCAUAAUCCAAUGUUUAUUAUUGGUUAAUUUUUUGGGGAAGUGCCAGAUAUGUAAAUCACAUUCUUUGGUUGAAAGGAGGAAACUAUCAUAUACAAUCAUGUAUACUGUCUUUAUUCUUUUUUGAAAGAAAUGUUAGAAACAUUUUUU